AACUAAAUAAUUGAAUUCAUUAUAGAAAAUCUCAUGCUUAAUUAAAAAUAAUAAUUAAAAAAAUAUAUAUGAUAUUCAAGUAGCAUAACAUAUCUUUAACAUCUCAUAAAAAGGAGAAAAAUUGCAAAGGUAAACGAUAUGACACUGUCUUUAAUUUAAACCACCCCUAACUAAAGUGAAUGCCAUCUUGAACUUCUACUUGAUUUGUACGUUGAUGAACAGUUUAUUCUUCAUAUUGACAUUAAAACUCUGUAAGAUAAAAACUUAUGUCAAUUUAAAACAAGGAAUAAAAAAGUAUGUAAUAAACAUACUUUAAAAGAUGCAAAAAAUACUUGUGAAUAUACACUUGAGGCAGCAAUAGUAAUAAUAGUAGCAAAUGUAACAUUCAUAUUAUUUACAACUUAAAUUACACUAUGAACAUUUAAAUAUUUCAAAUGGAAACAUAUGUGUAUAUCAAGUGAAAAAAUAUAACUCCUCAAACAAUGAGGUAAGGAAUAUCUCAAUAAGAAUAUGAAUACUUAGUAGGUGAUAUGAAAUGAAAUGGUACACGAACAUAGGAACUAAUAAUGCACAUGGGCAGUUUCAAAUCAAGACAAGUGUAUUUCAACCAACAACAUAUAUAUGAAUUGUAUAAUGUUUUAAAAAAAAAGAAGGCAUGUCAACAAUUUAACAAUUUUCUGCAAUGAUCAACAAUGGUUUUGUAUGGCCAACAAAAAGGACCAUCAGACCAAAAUUUUGGAAGCACACUACCGAUUCAACAAUGAAAUCACACAAGAAAAUGUAUGAAAACUAUCAGACAAAAAUAGAGAGAACAUCCAAAGGCACGAAAUUAGUUUUUUCUAAGAGGGAGGCAUAAUAUAUUUUCUUCUUGCUACGGUAAAAUCUAUAAUAUAAAUGAAGCAGAACAUGAAACAUUCCAGAGUUGCCAAUACGAAGAUUUGGUGGAUAUAGAUUCAUUAGGCCUAACAAGGAUGAUCAAUAAGGAUUGAAAUUUCUAUGGAAUACACAAAAAAUAGGGGAGAUACAUAUACUUCAUGGAACAACGCAUGAAUUAUAGUACAUAGAACAGAGAAAUAAAUCAAUUAGAAGACAUAUUGGAAAAUGAAGCAUUCCUGCAGCAGGAAGGGAUUCAGUGGAAUAAUUUUAAUCAACUAACAAUUGACUGUAAGAGAAUAAUAAACAUGGAUAAAAUAGGCAUGCCAACAUUGAGAAUUAAGAGAGGAAGGGUCAGCGUAUAGAUACAGUUAUCAACGCCAAGCUAAUUCAUUCCGUACAAUGGGAGCAACAUCAUAUUGAAGAUACAAGGCGUGUGAAGGGAAUGACACAAGCAGCUCCAGUUUCAAAAUGGUCGAAACAGAAUUUGCACACUGUCUAUGGAUGAGAAAUAUGAGAUUUUCUGAAAAAAGGAGUAGAGAUUCAAAUUCCACUACAAUAGAGAGUGUUCGAGCCCCACCCAACAUUAUUGGUCUCAGAUCUACUGUGAAAGAGAGUAUACAAGGACCACCCAGGAAUCAAUUGUACAUGGUAAAUAAAAAGCAGGUUACAACAAAAAGCUAAGGAAAAAAUUGAGAUCUCAAUGUCCUUCCAUGUAUCUUGAGUACAUCACAAAGAGAAAGAAAAAUCGAUUUACCAACUUUUUUAAUGGUACUAGCUAUGGAUCACUUGAAGAUGCUGGUGUUGAAGGCUGACCAAGAAUUACUCUUGUCUACCCCUCUUUGCAUAUCUCUUAGAGCAUCACCAAAUGGCUUAGACUUCAUAAUCUUGUGAAGUGAUCCUCUCCAGUUAUUCCACAACCUUCUCAUGUGUUGAAGGACAUGUUCUUUCAUGGAAUUCAUGUCAUCAAAGCUAAAUUUAUCAUGUAAUAUUUCACAAGUACCAUUAAACAUAAACUCAAUUAGUUAAUAGCUCUCUAUAUACUUACCUUAAUAGUCCCACAUGUUUUGCAUAAUUAUAGCACAUUGAUCUUACUUUUUUCGUAUAAGAAGUCAAAUAUAAAGCUAAUAAAACUCUACAUAUACUUACAGUUACAGAAUCCCAAAUGUGCUCUAGAUGAUUUUCUUUAAUGUUUGUCCAUGAGCGCACCCGUAAUAGGCACAUACUAUGAUCACGAAUUAAAAUACCCAAGUGUCUCACAAAUGAGGCAUAAUUUUUUCCAACAACUCAAUUUUGGUAAAAAUUGAUAUUUAACUUUUCUCCAAGUUUGAGUCGGUCAACAUUUUUACGGUCUCAAUUUAACAUUUUUAGUAUUUUCGGACUCACAUGCACUUGCGAAUUAAUUCAGACAAAAAGAAGAGUUUCAUCACACCAAAAGCAAACAAAAAAAUGGAGACGGUAAAUACUUAUUUCAUUUAUUUUAGCAUCCUCCAUUAGUUCGAAUUCUGGAGAGCAGGGAGCAUUACCUUCAGCUAGAUCAAAACCAGGAGUACAUGAUCAAUAUUAUGUACUUGAUCAUUUCUAUAGGAUGUUGAUGGAUUGAUGUUUAGAAUUUUGCUUCUUGGAGUUCUUUCUUCAGCCCUAACUCUAACAGAUCCCAAAUAUUGUAUGAUUAUCCCUCGUCCCCUAACUACAAAAUCACCAGGUGGAAGGUAUGAAAGUUUAUUAGGCUUGACAGUUGAUUUUAUUCUAGAGUUUAGAAUUUUUUAUGGAUCCAGGUAAACUUGUAGAAAAAGCACUUCUUUUUUAGUUCAUCCAAUAAUAGAAUAGUCAUUGAACAAGUUUUCAAUACUACAUCUCUUUCUAGAGGUACAACUACCAAGAUAAAACAAUAUUAAAUAGAAUAAGAAUAGCUUUCUAGAAUGAAAAAUGACAUGAAAUUGACAUUUUGAAAGUGCUUGAUUUCUACAUAUCUACAACCUAACUAAUCUACAUCUCAAAAUAGUGACAGGGAUGUGGUCAUCCCAGGAAUAGAAUAUAAGUUUCAAAAAAUGUAUAUUAUAAAGCAUAUUUAAAAAAGAAAAAUAAUUAAUUACAAGUCACUCAAAAUAUACGCAUAAAAUCAUAGCAAGCUUCAAUGUUUUUAAGCACAAUUUACAUGUAAAUAAAUAAUAUUACGUUACUACUUAUAAAAAGUCCAUAUAUAUGAACAACCAAAGAAUCACCAAGAAAAUAAUUGAAAAAUGAAAUUAAAACCAUAGUAUACUAAAAUAAGAACUCAAAAAUAAAUUCGAAGUCACAACUGCCUCCUAGAUUCCUUGAAGCUAUGAUGAAUCGUCAGACUCUUUAUCACCAACAUCAAAAGAAACACGAGCUUAAUCCUUUUGUACAAUAUGACAUCCAUUUUUGCAAGAUCAUCAGCAUAAAACACUUGUGAUGCUUUAUUGGCGAAAAUAAAAGGCUCAUUUAUUUUAAAAAAUCGCUUUCGUUGACACUUAUAAAGUCAUAUUCAUCUAAUUUAAUCAAUAUUUUUAUUCUCUUCAUUUGUCUCACCAACUACAACCACCCCACAAUGUUGAGUUCUCAAACGUUUAUUCUAAUCUCGCACAUGAAACCUAUAUUUAUUAGUAGCAUAGCUUUUAAAACAUGUCACAUAUGGAAGAGGACCAAAUGAUAAUGAGAGCAAAUCCAUUAUUUUCUUACGCUUAUCGUGCUUGUGAAAUUCUUGAACCUAUAAAAUUUAGCUAGAUUGCUCAGAAAAUAUAAUUCAUAAAUUGAUUUUAGAUAUACAAGGCUUAACUUCUCACCUUUAGUUUUAACCAACUAAGGAAUCGUCUAUUCCAUUCAAUCUCUGAAUAAUUUUUUGAUGUAUCAAUUGAAAUUUGUUAAAAUUCUCUGCUAAUAAUUUAUAUUUCAGUAUAACAUGUCAUUUUAUGUAAGGCUAUGAAAAAUAUAAGAGUAACUUAUUAUAAUGAGCCAUUACUUACUCGAGAAAUGGUUUAAUUUCAUCACAGUUCCUCAAAAUAUAAAAAUGUGCAAGCUCAAAUUCACUUUAAUCAUGAUUGACUUGUUUGUCACCCCUCAAACUUUUUCUAGGUUGAAAAAAAAUUCUAAACCUCCAUCAGAUUCAAUAGAACCACCAUCAUAAUUCCUUUUGGAGAGAUUAAAUUUUGUAUCCAUCGUAUGCAAAUACCUUAAACAUAAGUUCAUACAUUCAAAUGCUAUAUAUCCUUGUGCAAUACAACAUUUUAGGCGAGCCAUGUUACGAAUAAAUGAUUUUAGAAAGUAUAGCCAUCUCUCCAUCGGAUACAUCCAUUAAUAUUGGAUAGGCACAACAAUCUUAGCAUUAUUAGCUAAAUGAAUUGACAAGUGGACAAUGAUAUCAAAAAAUGCACGAACGAAAACCUUUUCUAACUUCCACAAAUUGAUUGGAAUUUGGGCUUCUAUUUUCUCUAUCUCAUCUACUCUUAAACAUUUUGCUCCAAGUAUAUUUAAAAAUAUUGAAAACUCAAUAAGUGUUUCAAGCACAGAUUUGCAGAGCAUACCACAUAAAGCAAGUGGAAUUAAAUGUUGUAGAAUAACAUGGCAAUCAUGGCUUUUCAAUCCUGAAAGUUUCCAAUCUUUAAGGUUGACACACUGAGAAGUAUUUAAUGAAAACCCUUCUGGGACCUUUAAAUUCUUUAAGAAACUGAAGUAUUUUGUUCUUAUGUGUAGGAUAUAAUGUGUAACUUGCAGUAGGAAACUCAUAUUUAUGUCCUUUUUCUAUCAGAUGCAAUUCCUUCUUUAUGUUCGUUGCUUGCAAAUCCAAUUGCGAAUUCAAGGUAUCUUUGGUUUUUCCUUUGACAUUUAAGAUUGUCCCCAAUAUAUUAUCACAAAUAUUCUUCUCAAUGUGCAUCACAUCUAAAUUAUGUCGCAACCAUAGAGUAUUCCAAUAUGGAAGAUCAAAGAAAAUACACUUGUUGUUCCAAUUAUCACCUCUAUUCGCGUGUGAUAUUUUAAUUUUCUGCCUUGGAUCCUUUGAUUUUGUUAGACCUUCUAAAUCACCUACUUGAUAAAGUAUAUCAUUACGAGAUAACAUUUUCGGUUGUAAUCUUUGCUCAUGUGUGACAUCAAAGGAAUCAUUAUCUUUCCUCCAUUUGUGAUUAUGAGGAAGAAAGCAUCUAUGGUUCAUAUAACAAUCCUUUUGACCUUUUACCAACCUAGUUGAAAGAGUUUCUUUGUUGCAACACGGGUAAACCAAUUUUCCUUUUGGUAAUCCAUCCUGACAAAUUUCCAUAUGCCAGAAAACCAUUAAUGGUCCAUAACAAAGCUUCAUGUAGCAUAAAAUUUUGUUUAGCUGAUGCAUCAAUGCUCUCAACUCCAGUUUUCUAUAAUUCCUUUAAUUCAUCUAUCAAAGGUUUGAGAUAAACAUCAAUUGCAUCCCUGGGACAAUCAGGACAAGGAAUAAGCAUCGAUAAAUAAAAUUUUCUUGUUUCAUGCAUAACCAAGGUGUCAUAUUAUAAGGAAUAAGUACGACAAGCCAAAUGCUAUAUGGAGUUUCAAAUUAUUAAAUGGUUGAAUACCAUCACUAGUAAGUCCAAGUCAAAUAUUACGAGGCUCAGUACCAAAAGAUGGAUGAAGUUCAUCAAGUCUCUUCCAUGCAACUAAAUCAGUUUGGUUCCUCAUUAUUUCAUCAUCAACUCUUUCAUCAUGAUGUCAUCUCCUCAAAGAAGAUGUUUUUGAGGACAUUAACAAUCUCUGAAGUCUGUCUUCAGAGGAAAAUAACGUAAAGUCUUGCAUGAUAUGUUUUUACCACGUUUAGAUUAUGUUUCCCCAUUGUGUUUAUUCUUCUUCCAUCUAGAUGAACCACACACUUUGAAAAAUUUGAGAAUCUUAUCAUCCUUCCAGUAUAACAUGAAAUUGUUCUUACACGCAUCUAUAUUCUCAUAAGAAAGUCCAAGAUUUGGAGUUACCUUCUUUGCCUAGUAACAUGAAUUUGACAAGUUUGAUUCAUCAGGCAAUAAAUCUACCGUUAGCAUCUUCAACAACAUUUUGAAUGAAGCGUUAAUACAUUGGCCAAUAGUUUUAAUAUGAAGUAUCUUAAUCAAAGAUGAAAGUUUUCUUCCUUUUGAAACCUUUAUAUAAUGAUUAUUUAUAAUAAUUUAAUAGGCCGUAUAAUGGUUUUGCUUUAGGAUUCGGUUCUUCCUCAACAAAAUCAUCACUGUUAGUAUUCAUAUUCUCUUCAGUUAAAUUGGGAUGUAAAUCCCUUAAAAGAUCUUGCAUUUCAUCCUCAUCAUCAUCAUUUUCAAUGAUAUUUUCCUCUACGGAUUAAGAAUCCGCCUCUUCCUCACCUAACCUCUCCCUAUGAUGAUACAAAAAAGUAUAACCCUAAACUAUUCCAUACAGUAAUAUAUGUGACCUAACCAUCUCAAGAGUUUUGGAAAACGAAUAACAACACCUGAUGCAGGGACAACGUAUUUCUUGUGUUUCUCCCAAUUUCGUAAAAGCAUAAUAAAAAAAUUUCUCCACCCCAAUGAUGUAAGCAUUAUCAAGUCUAUCUUGAACAAGUUGCAUCCAUUCCUUAUUAGGGUCCCUGAUCUUCAUUCACUAAAAGAAAUUAUAAAUACACCAACAUAAGUAAGAACUAGCCAUUUAUUGUUUAAAAGUUGAAGAAGACCUUCUGAAUGAUUCUAGGUAAGUUAUAGAAAACAAAAUUAUGGAAUUUUUAAUUAUUUAUUUGUAUAGUGAUUGCUUUGAUUAUAAAUGUAUACUUUGUUCAUGUAUAUUUACAAAAUUAGGCAGUUAUUAUGUCUUAUUAGGGAAGGGGUGCUUUUUUUUUUUCCAGCUUAAAAGCUCUUUUAAGUUGACCAAAAUAUUUUACCUUUUUGCCCUUAAUUCUUUAUUAUUAUUAUUAUUAUUAUGAUUUAUUAUUAUUAUUAUUAUAUAUAUUAGCAUUAUUAAUAUUUUAUUAUUAUUAUAAUUUUUAUUAUUAUUAUUUAUUUUAUUACUCUUUAUUCUUAUAAUAUAUUAUAAUUAUGUAUUAUUAUUAUACAUAUUUUAUUAUUAUUAAUUCUUUUAAUAUUAUUUAUUAUUAUUAUUAUAUAUUAUAUAUCAUUAUAGAUUAUUAUUAAUUAUUAUUAUUAUUAUAUUAUUAUUAUUAUUAUUAAUUUCAUUAUUUUUUCUUAUUAUUAUUAUUAUUAUUAUUUAUUAUUGUUAUUAUUAUUAUUUUCAUAUUAUUUAUUAUUAUUAUUAUUAUUAUUAUUUAUUAUUAAUAUUAAUAUUUUACAUAUUAUUAUCAUUAUUAUUAUUAUAAUUUAUUUUAUUAAUUAUUAUUAUUAUUGUUAUUAUUUAUUAUUUUCAUAUUGUUAUAUUAAAGACAAAAGAGUAUAUUUCUUGUUUUUAUAUGUGUGAUUGUUGAAUAAAUUCUCAAACUUUUAUGAAUUUUCCUAUUAAAUGCAUAAUAAUUAACAAAAGAAGAUUCUAUAAUAUCAUUUUAUUAUUAUAUAGUCGCUACUAAACACAUAAGGACAAUGGAAAAUACUUUAUCAUCUAUUAGCAAUAGUAGUAGGUUAGCAAAAAACAUGUAAAGCAACAACUUAGCAGGUAAAGCAACAACUUAACACCUAACAAAAGCUGCUAGAAACAAAUAAGUCAACAUAGUCCAGCUGCAACAAUAUUUUUUUAUCAUAUUCUUAAGCAGGACAACAACAUGUUGUAUACUUUAUUUUUAAAAAAACACAUAGCACUUUGUAAGCACUAAUAGAACAUAUCAAGUUAUGAUAAUAAUACAAGUUUUAAUAAUCCAUUGGCUUAGACAGAAAGAACUAGAGGAUACACAUUAUGAAAUAUACUCAUUAACAAUUUCAUAUUCCUUCUAUAACAAGGCCUCCAACUACAAUAUCCAUAACUAGCAUUAACCUAUGUAUACUCAUUAACCAAAGUAGGUGAACAAAAAAAAGUCAGCAGGAUACUAACAUGGAAAGGAAAAAUCAUAAAGGAACACAAAGGCCUGCGAAAAAACAUGAACUUACUCUUUUAAGGAUGAACUCUUGUAGGGACCUUAGACGACAAUUUAACAGCCAGUACUGUAGUUGAUUCAUGAUAAAGACAAGGGGGCAACCUUUUAAAACUCUAGGACACCCGUUCUCCCCCAAUACCGUUAUUUGAACUAAGUAAAUCUAGAUAAGCGCUAAUGUUGUGAUCUUUAUCAUCAAUAACAUCAUUCUAGACAUGGAUGACAUAGAACAUUUUAGUUUUUCCAAAUCACUUUCUGCUAAAGUUGUUUAUUUUAGCCCCAUUAUGCCCAAACUCUUCCACCGCUUGGGAUUAACUACUUUCUUAGCACAUUUCUACAAAAUAUUACACUAUUGAACUCACCAGUUGUAUUUCAUGUUUGUUUUCCUCACUCACUCAUCACGGAUAAUAAAUAUACCACACACAACAAGCAAGAACGAAAAACCAAUAUGAAACCCAUUAUUUGGAAAAACAAAAAAGAACGAAAAAAACCCAUAUGAAACCCAUUACUGGGAAAAACUAAAAUUGAACAAAAUCAAGCAUUCCACAAAGCAAUUCAUAGUUCUGAUAAUAAAAAUAAUACCUUUAAGAGAUUGGAACACCAAGAUAGGGUCUGAAUAAAUUCAACCGAUGCAAAACCACAAAAAAUUGUAAGAAGAGAACGGUGAAUUUUAUGUUCUGUAAUCAAACAAUUGAGAUGCAGAUAAUCUUUUUGUAACAUUUAGCAGAGAAACGCGGGUUACCACCAUGCUAAUUUUCCUCUAACAAACCUUGGAGAGACUCACCAAAUUAUAUUUCUUCUUCGCUGAUUUUCUUCAAAAAUAACAUGGGAGAGAAGGUGGUUUUGAAAUUUCCUCCAACACUCCCUGAUUUUUCUCUAACCAUCUUUCCCGCUAACUGUAGAUGUGGAGAAAAUUGAGCUUAUCGAUAUGUUCUUUUCUAAGAGAAAAAUAUUGGAUAGGGUAAGAUUUUUGUUUAAUGAAAUGGGAAUAUUGAGGAAAUACACAAU
rnacentral:lncRNA from 1 species